AGAGGAGUAACAGAACAUGUCAGCUGGCUCUGUGGUCCCCCUGAGGGCUGUGAACUUUGAGCUUCUCAAAGAUAGAGGACCCUGCAGUAUCAGUCCAGCAAGCAUGAGGGAGGACUUGAAUCCAGUUUCAGCAUCCUUCCUGGCAUCUCCAAGGAUCAUCAUCUCUUUCUCUCUUCAGAUUUGAAAAUCAUACCCUUUUCUUUAAAAAGUGAUAUCACACACUGUAGUGUUAUGUAGUGUGGUGUGAUCAGCAGAGUCAGAAGGGACAUGCCAUAUAGCACGAGAAGCAAGG